rnacentral:tRNA from 1 species
UAGCUCAGUGGUAGAGCAUGUGCUUAGCAUGCAUAAGGUCCUGGGUUCCACUCUCAG